rnacentral:rRNA from 1 species
UACGUAGGUGGCAAGCGUUGUCCGGAUUUACUGGGCGUAAAGGAUGCGUAGGCGGACAUUUAAGUCAGAAGUGAAAUACCCGAGCUUAACUUGGGUGCUGCAUUUGAAACUGGGUGUCUAGAGUGCAGGAGAGGUAAGUGGAAUUCCUAGUGUAGCGGUGAAAUGCGUAGAGAUUAGGAAGAACACCAGUGGCGAAGGCGACUUACUGGACUGUAACUGACGCUGAGGCAUGAAAGCGUGGGGAGCAAACAGG